rnacentral:misc_RNA from 1 species
AAAAUGCGAUACUUGGUGUGAAUUGCAGAAUCCCGUGAACCAUCGAGUUUUUGAACGCAAGUUGCGCCCGAAGCCAUUCGGUUGAGGGCACGUCUGCCUGGGCGUCACGCAUCACGUCGCCCCCACCAGGCAUCCCCUAUAGGGCUGUCUUGUGUUGGGGCGGAGAUUGGUCUCCCGUGCCCAUGGCGUGGUUGGCCUAAAUAGGAGUCUCCUCGCGAGGGACGCACGGCUAGUGGUGGUUGAUAAGACAGUCGUCUCGUGUCGUGCGUUUACUUUCUUGAGAGUAGAUGCUCUUAAAGUACCCUGAUGUGUUGUCUUAUGACGAUGCUUCGAUCGCGACCCCAGGUCAGGCGGGACUACCCGCUGAGUUUAA